CCCACGCUGUUUUGUUUAUAUCUUCUGAGUAAAGGCACGUUCGGUCAUUACGAGCGUGAAAUUGCCAAAGAAUUUUUCGAAAUGCCCGCACGUGCCUUUACUCAGAAGAUAUAAACAAGUGGG
rnacentral:pre_miRNA from 1 species